rnacentral:tRNA from 3 species
GGAGGGAUGCCCGAGUGGUUAAAGGGAGCAGACUGUAAAUCUGCCGGCGAUGCCUACAAAGGUUCAAAUCCUUUUCCCUCCACCA